rnacentral:tRNA from 1 species
AGAUAUAAAAAGAACUUCUAAUUCUUAAAAAGCUUAAAGCUAUAUCUA